rnacentral:rRNA from 1 species
UGACCGGCCACACUGGGACUGAGACACGGCCCAGACUCCUACGGGAGGCAGCAGUGGGGAAUAUUGCACAAUGGGCGCAAGCCUGAUGCAGCAACGCCGCGUGAGGGACGACGGCCUUCGGGUUGUAAACCUCUUUUAGCAGGGAAGAAGCGAAAGUGACGGUACCUGCAGAAAAAGCGCCGGCUAACUACGUGCCAGCAGCCGCGGUAAUACGUAGGGCGCAAGCGUUAUCCGGAAUUAUUGGGCGUAAAGAGCUCGUAGGCGGUUUGUCGCGUCUGCUGUGAAAUCCCGAGGCUCAACCUCGGGCCUGCAGUGGGUACGGGCAGACUAGAGUGCGGUAGGGGAGAUUGGAAUUCCUGGUGUAGCGGUGGAAUGCGCAGAUAUCAGGAGGAACACCGAUGGCGAAGGCAGAUCUCUGGGCCGUAACUGACGCUGAGGAGCGAAAGGGUGGGGAGCAAACAGGCUUAGAUACCCUGGUAGUCCACCCCGUAAACGUUGGGAACUAGUUGUGGGGUCCAUUCCACGGAUUCCGUGACGCAGCUAACGCAUUAAGUUCCCCGCCUGGGGAGUACGGCCGCAAGGCUAAAACUCAAAGGAAUUGACGGGGACCCGCACAAGCGGCGGAGCAUGCGGAUUAAUUCGAUGCAACGCGAAGAACCUUACCAAGGCUUGACAUAUACGAGAACGGGCCAGAAAUGGUCAACUCUUUGGACACUCGUAAACAGGUGGUGCAUGGUUGUCGUCAGCUCGUGUCGUGAGAUGUUGGGUUAAGUCCCGCAACGAGCGCAACCCUCGUUCUAUGUUGCCAGCACGUAAUGGUGGGAACUCAUGGGAUACUGCCGGGGUCAACUCGGAGGAAGGUGGGGAUGACGUCAAAUCAUCAUGCCCCUUAUGUCUUGGGCUUCACGCAUGCUACAAUGGCCGGUACAAAGGGCUGCAAUACCGCGAGGUGGAGCGAAUCCCAAAAAGCCGGUCCCAGUUCGGAUUGAGGUCUGCAACUCGACCUCAUGAAGUCGGAGUCGCUAGUAAUCGCAGAUCAGCAAC